AGGGUUUGAUUCUGGCUCAGGAUAAACGCUGGCGGCGUGCCUAACACAUGCAAGUUGAACGGAGUGCGAGAGAGCUUGCUUUUUUGCACUUAGUGGCGGACGGGUGAGUAAUGUAUGAGCAACCUGCCCUUCAGAGGGGGACAACAGUUGGAAACGACUGCUAAUACCGCAUGACGUGCGCAGUUCGCAUGGACAGUGCAUCAAAGGAGGAAUCCGCUGAAGGAUGGGCUCAUAUCCGAUUAGAUAGUUGGUGAGGUAACGGCUCACCAAGUCGACGAUCGGUAGCCGGACUGAGAGGUUGAACGGCCACAUUGGAACUGAGAUACGGUCCAG
rnacentral:rRNA from 1 species